CAACAAGCACAAGCAGGCCUGUGGGAUAAACCCAAAUAAACUAUGGUAGGGCUUUGGCAUGACCCAUUUGAAGAAUGACAGAAUACAGGUCUGAUACAUGGAUGAGUAGUAAUUCAGGACCCAGAACCAGUACAUUUCACCAGGAGGAGUUCCCUGAUGCUAGGAAAAUCCAUCAUAUGCUGAACUGUAUAAUACUAGAACAGAGUCAUAGGAAGAGAGGAGAUAAGGCGUUGCUUAAGAAGCCAAAUCAACUUAUUACCCUAAUAUCUGGAAUGAAGCAACUUCAAGGAAAAACAAGUCCUUUCAAGAGGUUUGGUUUGGUUUUGUUUCUUUUUUAAUUCUGGAGUGAAUUUUGUAGUUCUAUUUUGAAAAUAUCUUCUUUGUAAAGCAUGUGUAUCACCAAUGAAGUUAACUAUCUCACAUAUCAUUUGUUGCAUUUUCUGUUCACUGUAAAUAAAACAAGCAAACUGAAGAGUUAGCAAAGAAAAGGGGUAAAAAUGAGUGAAUGGAAAAAAAACCCUAUCUAUUUGUAUAGAUAAAUACAAUGAGCUAGAUCCAAUUUUCUCAUGUAUGAUGAAACACACAUGCAAAUGGGUUUCUCAGCCAAACCCUAGACUGCACAGUGUCUCCAGUAGGUGUUUUGGGCACCCUGAUUCCUCCCAAAGCCAACUCACAAACCUCUGCUGUCUACUUGGCUUUCCAAACCAUUUGCCCUACUCACUGUCAAGUCUGGCUUGGCUUAUGCCAGCGAUAACACACAGAUGUAGUAGCAGUGUCCACAUGGACCAGCCUCCUGGUUGCUUUUAUCCUAUACACACAGGCGGCCUCUGACCCACAGUCUAAAUCCAGUAGCUGGCACUUACACCUUCACACGCAGAAAAGAGAAUAUUUUGCCUUACCUGGGAAAAUAGUCAGAAAUGGAGUUUAAUGAGAAGACAGGGCAGACAGCGCUGAUCAGGUACAGAGCAUGGCCAGGCACACAUACUGACCAGAAAGCUCUUUACGUGCAGCCAACACUUAGGCCCUUAUCCCCCUAUUUUUUCAUACUUGUCCCUCUCAAAACCAAUUUGAUUCUUUCAUUUCCUUUCUAUGGUCCUUCCUUGAGCAUCCCCUACUAAGUUUUUUCUAAAAUGCUGUUCCCUGCAUAGCAGGGUAAGUCCUGUACUGCAGCAGGUAGCACGCUUCUCAAACUGAGAGGUGAUGAGGUGACUUUCUGCUGCCAGCCUGGGGCAGUGGGGCUGACACUUUCCUGGGGCAGGGGCUCAGGCGUCUCAUGAGGCUGUUGAAUCCCCCCACCUGCCAGUGACAUGCUGGGCUGCACAGUAUGGUUGAAAGUAAGCCUUUAGUCACAUACCUGACAGAACUUUCUCUCCCUCGUGAAAUGCUGUCAUCUAGUCCUAAUUACCUAGUAAAUACAUAGCAGCAAUAGUGAAUAGCUACUAGCUACCUUAUUUUCUACAAAAAGCAUUUUUAGUUAAGUUAGAGCUCUGCUUAUUAACAACUUCAAAAAAAUAUACCAGGAGGCACACAUUUAAUCAAAGUCUGUGAACUUGAAUUGCCUUAAGAAGCUAUUAGCUCCUUUAAGGGAAAUUAAAAUAUUUGCACCAAGCUAGGGUGAAGCUAAAUGAAAAAUUCAUAGAGUACAGAAUGCUUAGAAUAAAAGGAACUUUCCUUUGCAGUGACUGAAGGCAGAAGUAAGCUAGUGAUCCUUGCUGAAGUUAGCAUACAUCUAACCUAAAAUUUAGCAUAUGAAUUCUAUUCUGAGUCCCUCCAGCAGAUGGAGGAACUUGCUAAAAAUCUUUUCCACUUUAGUGAUGGAAAAUAGAACACCUUAAGACUCCAGUUUUUAAGAAGCAGUGUUAUAUUUUCUUAAAAAGUGACAAAGGUAAAGCUGCCCACAGCCUCCAUUUCCAUGAUUUAUGAUUCCAUGAUUGCAGCAAAUACUGCCAAGAAAGCUCAAUGUGUAAGGAAUCCUUUAAGCACUUUUUCUUUUUUUCUUUUUUUU